AUACGGAGGGUGCAAGCGUUAUCCGGAAUCAUUGGGUUUAAAGGGUCCGCAGGCGGAUUAAUAAGUCAGUGGUGAAAUCCUCUCGCUCAACGAGAGAACUGCCAUUGAAACUGUUAGUCUUGAAUUCGGUCGAAGUAGGCGGAGUGUGUCAUGUAGCGGUGAAAUGCAUAGAUAUGACACAGAACACCGAUAGCGAAGGCAGCUUACUAGACCUGGAUUGACGCUCAUGGACGAAAGCGUGGGGAGCGAACAGGAUUAGAUACCCCAGUAGUCC
rnacentral:rRNA from 1 species